UACGAGGGGGGCAAGCGUUGUUCGGAAUUAUUGGGCGUAAAGGGCGCGUAGGCGGUGCGGUAAGUCACCUGUGAAAUCCCUCGGCUUAACCGGGGAACUGCGUCUGAUACUGGAUGGCUUGAGAUUGGGAGAGGGAUGCGGAAUUCCAGGUGUAGCGGUGAAAUGCGUAGAUAUCUGGAGGAACACCGGUGGCGAAGGCGGCAUCCUGGACCAACACUGACGCUGAGGAGCGAAAGCCAGGGGAGCAAACGGG
rnacentral:rRNA from 1 species